rnacentral:tRNA from 1 species
CAUUAGGUGGCUGAGAGAUAGGCAAUAGAUUGUAAAUCUAUUUACGGGUGGUUCCCCCUGACUA